AUGGAUGGUUAGUUGACUCAGUUGUUUUUGGUUUUUUAAAUGUUUUAUUAGUACAUGUUUGUAGUUUGCAUGUAGCUUACAAUUAUUUUGGGGAGUAUGUACAUGUACACAAAACAACUAUUUUUGUUUUUUAAGCCCCCUCUCCUUCCCUCCCUCUCAAUAUCUCCUCCUCUAAUUUCCCCUUUUCCAUUUUUAUUCUGGUUGAUAUUUUUGAUCUUAGCUCAUGUUUAUGGCCUAUAAUGUUUACAUUCAUUGAGGUUAUUAGGUUCUUAUACAUAGUAUAUCUUUAUUCUACUUAUUUAUAGAGACAGAAGGAACCUCAAAGAUCAUCUAAUAUGUUAACCUGUUUAUUUUAAAAUGGGAAAAUUGAGACCAAAAGCAAGGAGUGACUUUAACAACUUCUCAAGGCCUAUCAGUGGCUGCACUGGAAUAAAUUCAAGCCCUUAUGCUGUUCCAUAAACUACAUGGAACAGCAUAAGGGCUUGAAUUUAUUCCAGUGCAGCCACUGAUAGGCCUUGAGAAGUUGUUAAAGUCACUCCUUGCUUUUGGUCUCAAUUUUACCAUUUUAAAGUAAACAGGUUAACAUACUAGAUGAUCUUUGAGGUUCCUUCUGGUCUCUACCCUUCUCUGAUUCUAAGAUAAGUCUGAGUUUGUGGCCCCUGAAGUAAUUCAUCAAAGAGAAGGAGAAUCUGAGUACUAUAGUCAGACUCUAGAGAAUAAAUCCAACUUUGACCUCUCCAGCUGCAUGAUAUCAAGGAAGAUACAUAAUUAACUUCUCUGUUCUGUUUCUUCAUCUGUAGAGAGGUUAUGUCGCUAAUAAUAGUAACUAUGCCCCAGGGUUAUUAUAGAAUAAAAUAAAUGUACAAAUUGCUUAGUGCAAUAUCUGGCAUACAGCAAGCACAUGACAGAGUUGGUGAUUAUUAACUUAAAUGAGAUCUAUUUUCAGAAAGAGUGGAUGUAUCCUAAGAACACUUACAUAGAGCACUUUCUGCAGGUAUGUGUCCAAGCACAACCUGAGCAUUUGGGAAAUGGCCUUAGACUGCCAAAGGCAGAGGUUACAAACUCAUGUGUGCCUCCUGAGUGACUUUUCUCAGGAUAGUGUCGUUGUUACUUAAUUUAAUUAGUUGUUAACAUUUGAAAAUCAGAGUACCCCAUUUCUGGCUUCUUUAAAAGCAAAUUGGAGGGCUGGGGAUUUAGCUCAGUGAAAGGUCCUGAGUUCAAUCCCCAGAACCUGAAAAAAAAAAAAAAAGGAAAUUGGAGUGUCUGGCAAUAGUAACCUUUCAUUCCUGGACAGCACCGACGAUCAGGGCUCCCCCUCAACGUUCACAUCACUUCCUG
ensembl:lncRNA